GACGUAGGGCGCGAGCGUUGUCCGGAUUUAUUGGGUUUAAAGGGUGCGUAGGCGGCCUUGUAAGUCAGUGCUGAAAUAUCCCGGCUUAACCGGGAGGGUGGCAUUGAUACUGCAGGGCUUGAGUAAAGUUGAGGUUGGCGGAAUUGACGGUGUAGCGGUGAAAUGCUUAGAUAUCGUCAAGAACACCGAUAGUGAAGACAGCUAACUAAGCUUUAACUGACGCUGAGGCACGAAAGUGUGGGGAUCAAACAGG
rnacentral:rRNA from 1 species